rnacentral:rRNA from 1 species
CGCUGAGGCGGAGGCCUAAACAUGCAAGUCGAGCGGUAACAUUUCAAAAGCUUGCUUUUGAAGAUGACGAGCGGCGGACGGGGAGUAAUGCCUGGGAAUUUGCCCAUUUGUGGGGGAUAACAGUUGGAAACGACUGCUAAUACCGCAUACGCCCUACGGGGGAAAGCAGGGGAACUUCGGUCCUUGCGCUGAUGGAUAAGCCCAGGUGGGAUUAGCUAGUAGGUGAGGUAAUGGCUCACCUAGGCGACGAUCCCUAGCUGGUCUGAGAGGAUGAUCAGCCACACUGGGACUGAGACACGGCCCAGACUCCUACGGGAGGCAGCAGUGGGGAAUAUUGCACAAUGGGGGAAACCCUGAUGCAGCCAUGCCGCGUGUGUGAAGAAGGCCUUCGGGUUGUAAAGCACUUUCAGCGAGGAGGAAAGGUUAGUAGUUAAUACCUGCUAGCUGUGACGUUACUCGCAGAAGAAGCACCGGCUAACUCCGUGCCAGCAGCCGCGGUAAUACGGAGGGUGCGAGCGUUAAUCGGAAUUACUGGGCGUAAAGCGUGCGCAGGCGGUUUGUUAAGCGAGAUGUGAAAAGCCCCGGGCUCAACCUGGGAACCGCAUUUCGAACUGGCAAACUAGAGUCUUGUAGAGGGGGGUAGAAUUCCAGGUGUAGCGGUGAAAUGCGUAGAGAUCUGGAGGAAUACCGGUGGCGAAGGCGGCCCCCUGGACAAAGACUGACGCUCAUGCACGAAAGCGUGGGGGAGCAAACAGGAUUAGAUACCCUAGGUAGUCCACGCCGUAAAACGAUGUCUACUCGGAGUUUGGUGUCUUGAAACACUGGGGCUCUCAAGCUUAACGCAUUAAUGUAGACCGGCCUUGGGGAGUUACGGGCCGCAAGGGUUUAAACUUCAAAUUGAAUUUGGACC